AUCUUUUCAUCUGCAUAACGAUUGUCUUGUUUGUUUUUCAAAAAGCUUUUCAUACUCAAAAUCAUUAUGCAGGUUGAUUCUUAAACCCAUUGAACAUAGUGAUCCGACGUCAUCUCCCAAAUUUUGAAUUCCCUGUAGUCGAAGCGGAAGAAGACGAUGUUGAAGGGAUUCCUGACGAGAUUUCCCGACUUCUUGAGCAAGAAAAGA
rnacentral:lncRNA from 1 species